NGGUAAUGGGUUACUCCUAUAGCACGUCCUUGUACAAUGCUCAAGGCUCUUGGUUGAGUAACAGGAGCAACUUUUAAUUUAUUAUGAGCCCAAACUAUGGAUUCAAUAAGUUAUUGCCAAUAACCACGUUCGCUGAAUAGAAACAUCAAACUAAAAGCCCAUACAAAAUGAGCACCUAGGAAUAAAAGUCCAUAUGCAGAUAAUGAAGAACCAUAAGACUGAAUUACUUGGGAUGCUUGUGCCCAUAAGAAAUCCUCGAGCCACCCAUUAAUAGUAAUAGAACUCUAGACGAAUUAGCGGGUCUAUCCCAUCAUAUGAAGAAAUACUUACUAAUAGGUUGAUGGGAUGUAUCCCGUCGUAGGUGCUUAUCUUACUUUGUUAUCAGAUAUCAUGGGUAAGUUAGUAGCUGCCUAGCUGGAUAGAGAUUAGUUUUGCAUGAGAGCUUGAAUGUGAAAAAAUUGUGAGAAUUUGAAAGCCUUGUUUCCAAUGAUGAUUUAGACAUUAUAUUAGAAUACAUCUCUUAGAAACCUUGCUCUACUUCAGGUGCAGUGUUUUCUUAUAAUGGCUGACAGAUUCAUUGUACGAAAAUUUAUUUGCCUAUCUUAUCUUCUAAGGAAGUAACUAUGGUGCUACCAGGAGAAGAAACAAUGGAAGAGAAGCAGGCAAAAGAAGUUUCAGUUGCUUACAAUAGCAAGCCUCGAGUUCCCGAAGUCAUAGUUAUGUAGAUAUGAAAUUGUGCUCAUAUCCAACUAAUCAUGUUGUAUAUAUCUGCUUAUGUCUCAUAGAUCAUGCAUAGAAAUUCCAAAAUAGCUCCAGAUUCAUUUGCUUCUAUAUUAAAAAUUCUUCGCUUGGCCACAUAAAUUACAGGUGCACAAUGCUGUUGCUGUGGCUAGAUUACUUAAUGCAAUAGUUUUUCUUUCGAAAAUUAUCUACAGCACUAUUUGGAUAAAUAGUAAGUGAAAUACUUCAUUUCGUACAAAAUGGGGCAUUAGAUUUAUAUGUAACAUUUUUUUUUUUCAUUUGUUUAACGUACUCUUAAUUCUUCACAUCAAAUUCAAAUACAUUUUCUUUUACAUUUCUAAAGUGACCGUCUAUAUGUUAUUGAAAUUGUAUAAAGUGCAUGCAUGGUUUAAAUUGCUUAUGGUCGAUAUGCUGUCAAUAGAUUACUUAAUCUCUUCCUCCAUUCUAAAUACACUAAAUUUAAUUUGAGUUUUCCUGUUAGGUUUCAAUUAGUAUUUAACCCUUCCAAUUAUGGAAUUAUCACUAGUAUAGAUUUUUUCCACAGUGUAUCUAUUAUUGUACUCCGAAAGAUAAAAAGUAAAGAUGAGACAAGUGGUAAUUUUCUUCUUUCUUCAUAUUCUUUUCAUGCUUCAUUAUUUACUUUAUGGGAAAAAUCAUGUGAAAAUUUAACUCAUCAAAUUCAUUUUAACUUGCUGCCCUCAUUCCACACACACAUCUUCCAUACAUUAAUAUAAUGUUGGGUUUCAAACUUACUUCUAAAUUCAAUCUUUAUUUUUCUUAUGCUUUCCGUGCAGGAUUUUAAUGAGUAUUCUAGUUGUCUAUUUCGAUAGCUACUAUUAAAAGGAAAUGUUAGAAUCUCAGGUAAUUGUGCACAUUAUUCCAUAUUUUUUACCUUAAAAGUGUCCACUAAACACUUCGCAAAUUCCAUUUUUAUUUCUCGCUAUUCUCAUUUACUGUUACUCUCGGACGUAUCCAUUUAAAUUGGAUGACCGAUUUGUUUGCCACUAAAUACAACCCAAGUAUUCUAUUGGUUUAUAUUCCGAGUGCAUUUGAUUUCACAAUGAUGCUCUACAAAUUUUAUUAUUUAGCUCGAGUAUGUAUGAAAUAGUUUAAGAUAAGUUCAGGUUAAACUAUCACAAUUUAAGCCACGAACAUAUAUACUUGACCAUGUUACUUUUUGGUUCAAUACUUAUCACAUAAGUCAUACCUAUGAAUUACGAUGGUAGAAUACAAUGCAUCAUGGAAAGAAUUACUUGUAUUGCUCAGAAUGAUCUUCGAUUAUAAAGCCUUUUGUUAAGUGCACUAUAGAGGUUAUGACUUGCUCUUUGUAUCAUUAGUCACACUCUUGUUAAAAAUGGGCCUGCAAGCCUUAAGUGCAAAACCAAUUGUAAAGCAAAGAAGGUUAUUACUUAUUUAGAAUUAUUAGUCAAAUUCAUCAACAAGAAAGUAACAGAAGAGUCCAGUUUAUGGUUUUGUUGCAUUUCUUUCAUCAAGUUAUUACUCAAGUGAAACUCCAUUUUGCUCUGUAAUUUCCCUUUAUGCAGUAAAAGCUCUUUUCUCAGUAAAGGAUUCGUAUGGAGGGAGAGAAAAUUGUUAGAUUUAUUUGAUAUAUUUUUUAUGUUAGCAUUCUACGAUCCCCUAGAAGAUUGAGUGUCUGAAAUGAACAAUAUAUUCUAAAAAUGCUAUAUAACACUAUGGAGGAAUAACUUAUUGGUUUUCCAAGCCCGUCGACCACAUUAUUAAUUCUGCUACAAAUUCAAAUUAUAUGUCGGCCAGUCAGAUAUCAUUUCCUAUUGUUUUAUAAGGUCCAAAUGGUACUACUGCAGGUGUUGGGGCUCAACAUUCCCAGGUAUGAGGUUCGUUUCGUCUGUCAUUAUUUUCUUAACAAUAUCAUGCUUGAUUCUUCAGAUAAAGUCACUAUAAUCUUUUGUUAACAUCAACGAACUGUUCUCCUGUUUUUUCUUUCUCGUCUGGAAUGGUAAAAGGAGUGUGUAUGUCCACAAGGAUACUUUCUUUUGGUGGGAAAGUCAGCUCAGUUUUUAAAUUAUGAUAAAACUAUAAUACCCAAAAAAAAUAAAUAAAAAAUAGAUGGUGUACCUUGUGGACUAUUUUCACAAUCAUCCAUAUUUUUCCAUACUUCAUGUGUAUUGUAGGCAGCAUUAUGCUCUAUAAGAUUAAUAAAGAAAGUACUGGACCUGGUAGAAAACUUUGUUAAUGCUGUUGCUGUUGCUGUUGCUGUUGCUGCUGCUGCUGCUGCUGCUUUGGUUAAAGAAAAGCACAGUGGGAAGUGUAAUUAACUGGAGUCCAACUUUGUACAGAUUUAUGUAAAGUCAAUAAAGAGGUUCUUGAGAAUUUAGAUAGGUAAGUAGACAACUGCUGUCUUUAUGUCCUAAAAUUAUUUAUAAGAAGCUAAAAUAUAGCGAAUUGAUGCCGACAAUUAAAUUGUAAGAUGAGAUUUCCUUAUAUUCUGUUCGAAUAAUAUAGUUGUUUGGAAAAUAUGCUUCACCUCAUUCUUCUUGUAAAUAAGUAGUAUCUUAAAAUACAAUAAUUUACGUUAGUAUAAUAAAUUCUAACAUGAGUGAGAUGUUGAAUUUGACAUAUCUAAUUUUAUAUUAGAUUGAAAUAUAUUAACCUUAUCGUAGUAUACAUCACCUAUUUGUCAUUCUUUAAUUUUUACUUCAUCUAUCUAUCUACGGUUUUAUAUCUUACUAUUUUGG
rnacentral:lncRNA from 1 species